rnacentral:rRNA from 1 species
GACGAACGCUGGCGGCGUGCUUAACACAUGCAAGUCGAACGGUGAAGCGCCUUCCUUUUUGGCGGGUGUGGAUGAGUGGCGAACGGGGGAGUAACACGUUAGUAACCUGCUCCCUUCUUCUGGAUAACCGCAUGAAAGUGUGGCUAAUACAGGAUAUUCUGGGUCUGUCGCAUGAUGGGUCUGGGAAAGAUAUGGUGUCGGUUGUGGAUGGGCUCGCGGACUAUCAGCUUGUUGGUGUGGUGAUGGCCUACCAAGGCGGUGGCGGGUAGCCGGCCUGAGAGGGUGGACGGUCACACUGGGGCUGAGCCGCGGAGCAGCCUACUACGGGAGGCAGCAGUGAGGAUUACUGCACAGUGGGAGGCAUGAUGAUGCAGCGACGCCGGGUGGGGGAUGGAGGCCUGCGGGUUGUGAACCUCUUUCGGCAGUGAAGCAGGCCUGCAUCGUUUGUGCGUGGGUUGACGGUAGCUGGAUAAGAAGCGCCGGCUAACUACGUG